GUACGGAGGGCAGCACCCCAGCCCUGGAGAUGGAGGGAGGCUGGGAUUUCCAGCGAGGCCGCAAGAUAUAUAAGAGAACGAGGGAGGGGGGAGAGAGAGUGGAGAGAGAGAUGGGUUGCCACGCCGUCUUCCACGCGGCGACCCCGCAGCCUCUCGUCGCCCUCCACCGCCGCUCUCGCCUCCCCCCCAAUGACCUCUCCCUCUCCCAAAAUCCUAAUCCCCAUCGCCGCUGCCACUGCCCCCUCCUCCCGCCGGCGGGCUUCGCCGGCCCGCGGAAGCACCGCCUUGCUGUCAGGGCCGCCGCCGCCCCCGCCCCCGCCCCCGAGGCCAUGCCGGGAGCCGUGGAGCCCGGCCAGUGGGACGCCCUCGAGCGCUGCUUCGCCGCCUCCCCGGUCUCCGAUCCGCCCUCCUGCUCCUCCUCGCCGUCGUCUUUGUUGGCGUCCGCCGCGAUGGCGCCGGUGAUGAAGGGACAGUACGGGGCGUUUGGGGGGGUGACGCUGGAGAAAUCCAAGCUCGAUCUUUCCCAGAAGACUACGAAGUCGAGCGCUGAGACAGCAACUGGUGGAGGAGGUGGAGAUAUUGGAAAGAAAAAUUUCCAUGGUGGGGGUGACGGUGGCGAUGAUGGCGGCGACGAUGAUGAUUACUUUGAUGACUUUGACGAAGAUGAUGAAGGAGAUGAAGGUGGAUUAUUUAGAAGGCGCCUUGUCCUUCAAGAGCUCUUUGAUAGGAAGUUUGUGGAUGCGGUGCUUCAAGAGUGGUACAAAACCAUGAUAAAUUUGCCUGCUGGACUGCGUCAAGCUUAUGAAAUGGGUUUGGUGAGCUCUGCACAAAUGGUACGCUUCUUGUCAAUUAAUGCAAGGCCAACAACAUCUAGGUUCAUUUCUCGGGCUCUUCCACAAUCCCUAUCUAGGGCUUUCAUUGGAAGGGAUUCGCAUAUAGGAUUGAGGACUCUGAGGCAAGGACACUACCAAGAGAUAUGGUGGCGACAAAUCUAUACAGAUCCCUCUUUCUUAUGUAAAUUAAUCCUCGAACAGGCAGCUACUAUUGGUUGUGCUGUUUGGUGGGAGUUGAAGAAUCGCAAAGAAAGGAUUAAACAAGAAUGGGAUUUGGCACUCAUAAAUGUUCUGACAGCAUCGGCUUGCAAUGCAUUUAUUGUCUGGUCGCUUGCACCAUGUCGUUCCUAUGGGAAUACAUUCCAUUUUGACUUGCAAAAUACAAUCCAGAAACUUCCGAAUAAUAUAUUUGAAAAAUCUUAUCCUCUGAGAGAGUUUGACUUACAGAAAAGAAUUCAAUCUUUCUUCCUUUACAAGGUUCCAGAGUUAUGUCUCGUUGGUGUAAUUGCUGGAUCUCUUCAAGGUAUCUUGUCAAAAGUUUCCUCUUCGAAAAAGGAGGGGAGUGACCAUACCAUCUGUCACUACCAAUGCUCUUGGCUAUGGUUCUUUCUUGGGGCUUUAUGCAAACCUGCGGUAUCAGCUGUUAUGCGGAAUUGAUAGAUUUAUGUUCAAUCACUUUGAUGUUCUAGGAGUGCCGAUCUUUUUCAGCACAGCACUGAGAAUAUUGAAUAUUCAGAUUGGGGAGAUAUCCAGACCUGCUUGGCUCGGGGUGGAAGCUGAUCCACUGCUGCAGUCAGACAAUCUGUUGAAAGCAUAUAACAGACCCUCAGAGGCCACUGAUAGUCCGAGUGCAAAGUGGUUCAUAUCCAAGAACACCAUUAUUUCUGGCCUUGGAUUACUUGGUAUUAAGCAAGGCAGCGAGAAACCGGAGGCUAAACCUUCAAAGGCACACCGAAAGAGAAUUGUUAGGAAAAAAGCAAGCACAACUUCGGCAUAACCGUGGUUCUCAUCACUUUGGAAACAAUUUUGCAUGUGAGGUCAAUUCUGGAUGCUGAUUACUGCCAUGCAAGUGAACAGGGAAGAUUCUUGUUGCCAACUUUGGCAGUGUUAUCAAGAUGCGAUCUUGGAAUUGCAAGGCGUCUGAUGAAGAGUUUUAAAGAUUUAGAUUUCUUUAAUUUUGAGCACUAAGAUUUAUUAUUAUUAUUAUUUUUUUUUUUUUUUUUGCUUCCAGAUUUUGGUCUCUUGUAUACAUAUAAUUUGUUAGAGAAAUUAAUAAGAUUGAAAUUUGUUCUGUUCA